rnacentral:rRNA from 1 species
UGGAAUGAUGGUGACCCACACCCUCACCAGAGUAGCAAUUGGAGGGCAAGUCUGGUGCCAGCAGCCGCGGUAAUUCCAGCUCCAAUAGCGUAUAUUAAACUUGUUGCAGUUAAAAAGCUCGUAGUUGAAUUUUAGCGUGUUCGAGUUUGCCAUUCGUUUGGCUUUUUCGAGUUCGCUUUUGGGUUUUCCCUUUUUACUUUGAGAAAAUUAGAGUGUUUCAAGCAGACUUUUGUCUUGAAUACUUCAGCAUGGAAUAAUAGAGUAGGACUUUGGUUCUAUUUUGUUGGUUAUUGAACCUUAGUAAUGGUUAAUAGGAACGGUUGGGGGCAUUCGUAUUUAACUGUCAGAGGUGAAAUUCUUAGAUUUGUUAAAGACGAACUACUGCGAAAGCAUUUGCCAAGGACGUUUCCAUUAAUCAAGAACGAAAGUUAGGGGAUCGAAGACGAUCAGAUACCGUCGUAGUCCUAACCAUAAACCAUGCCGACUAGUGAUUGGAGGUCGUCGUUUUGCUGACCCCUUCAGGAACUUGAGAGAAAUCAAAG